rnacentral:rRNA from 1 species
CUCGAUUGGCGCACGCGGUGUAGAAUCAUUCUGGAUAUUGCCAAAGGCCUGUGCUAUCUUCAUGAGGGGUGCAGGAGAAAGAUAGUUCAUUUGGACAUCAAACCACAAAAUAUUCUCCUAGAUGAGAACUUCAAUGCUAAAGUGGCUGAUUUUGGACUAUCUAAGCUAAUAGACAGGGAUCAAAGCAAGGUAAUGACAGAGAUCAGAGGCACACCUGGGUAUCUAGCACCUGAAUGGUUAACCUUGCAAAUCACUGAAAAAGUUGAUGUCUACAGCUUUGGAGUUGUUGUCAUGGAGCUAGUGAGUGGGAGAAAAAAUAUUGAUAAUUCUCUGCAUGAGGAGAGUUCUAACCUCAUUAGUAUGUUCCGAGGAAAGGCUCGAGAUAAUCAAAUGAGUGAUCUGAUUGACAAGCAUAGUGACGACAUGGCCUCGCACCAGGAGCAAGUGAUUCAAAUGAUGAAGCUUGCAAUGUGGUGCCUGCUAAAUGAUGGCAGUCAAAGGCCUUCCAUGUCAACGGUGAUAAAAGUAUUAGAGGGUGGGAUGAGCAUAGAAACCAGUAUUCUUCAUAGAUUUCUCAAUACAAAUACAGUCCUGCCCCUGGAAGAUAAUCCGACCGCAUAUUCAGUUCAACCUCAAGCAUCAAUUUUAUCUGGACCAAGGUGA